rnacentral:lncRNA from 1 species
GAUUCCGGCCACCUCCGGUCCCCAUUUCGCCGUCGAAGGACGUGAGGAGGAUUUCCUCGAGGAGGGUUUGGAUCGACGGCAGGCUUAGCCGUACUUUAUCACAGUAUUGCUGACCGGCAUAGGAGUGGAGGCUAGUACCAUCUUUGUCAUCCAUUCUCAGUAGGUUAUUGAUUAACCUACUUAUUGUACUAUAUUUCGAGUGUGUUCCUUAGAUUGCUCUGAAUACUUGUAGAGAGUGGAUUUAUACAUUUGUAUAAUUAUGUGUGUAAGAGAGUGGUCUAAUUUGGGAGGAAGUUGAAUGAUUUGAAUUUGUAUAAGAUGUUAAGAUUGUGGAGAAGCAGGGUGGCUUCAAGCAUAGCAUUUAGAGUAUUGAGAAGUGUUUUCAGCAGGUUUAGGGUUGCCCAUUUUUAG